AUACGUAGGGUGCAAGCGUUGUUCGGAAUUAUUGGGUGUAAAGCGGAUGUAGGUGGCUUAUUAAGCCAGAUGUGAAAGCCCGGGGCUUAACCCCGGACGUGCAUUUGGAACUGGUAAGCUAGAGUGUGUUAUGGGAGUGCGGAAUUCCUGGUGUAGCGGUGAAAUGCGUAGAUAUCAGGAGGAACAUUCGUGGCGAAGGCGGCGCUCUGGGGCGACACUGACACUGAGAUCCGAAAGCAUGGGUAGCAAACAGGAUUAGAAACCCCGGUAGUCC
rnacentral:rRNA from 1 species